rnacentral:lncRNA from 1 species
GUCGGGCGUUGGGUUUCGCGGCGCUCGCCGCACUGGUUGUUCAGCACCUUCGGUCCGGUUGAGGUUGUCAAGUCGGACCAAACAGGUUGUUUCUCUGCAGUUUCCAACAUGGCAGGGAGGUUUAAUAGACAUGGAUAAGAAGUCCACUCACAGAAAUCCUGAAGAUGCCAGGGCUGGCAAAUAUGAAGGUAAACACAAACGAAAGAAAAGAAGAAAGCAAAACCAAAACCAGCACCGAUCCCGACAUAGAUCAGUGACGUCUUUUUCUUCAGAUGAUCCUAUGUUUCCUUCUUCCUCAUCAUCGUCUUCAGGAAGCCAGACAGAUUCAAGUAUUGAAGAUGCUGCCAAGGGAAAAAUUAAGAAGAAGAGAAGAGAGAAAACAAAUAAAUGGGAAAAAAGAAAGGACAAAAUAUGAAACACCAAGAAAAAGAGAAGGAAAAAAAGGAGGAAACAACCACAUAUGUCACCUUUCCAAGAGGGACUGAAACUGGGCUGACCCUUUUGAUUUCCAAGCUCAGCGUUUUGGUGUAAGGCGGCCAAAGAAGGAUGCGGAGCCCAGCACUGUGAAGCCUACAAAAACAUUGAUGCGCUGGCUUGGGGAUUUGAAUUUGAACAUCUUUCACACUAAGUUCAGACUCAUGAAACCAAUCUUCAGAUGCUCUGUAAACCACAUAAUAAAGAGUUUGGAAAUUAUAUUUUGUUUUUGAAGGCCCACGUGCAAAACUUGAGAGCCUCAAGUCCAAGCCAGUUGUGGCAAUUCUAGCCUACUUUUUUUUUAUAUUCAAGUGUGUUGUAGGGAAGGAGGAGAAUAAGUCUGCUUUCUUGAAUAUUAUGCCUAAUUAAUUACGUAUAAAAUACUUUUACCAAAGUUCUAUGCAAGGUAGAAGACUUACAGAUGGCAUGAAAAAGAUAAAGUCUUUUCCAUGUUUUUUUUUUUUUUUUUUUUUUUUUUUGAGACAGAGUUUCACUCUGGUCGCCCAGGCUGGAGUGCAGUGGGCCAGUGUCGCCUCACGGCAACCUCCGCCUCCCAGGUUCAAGUGCUUCUCCUGCCUCAGCCUCCUGAGUAUCUGGGACUACAGGUCCAUGCCACCACACCCAGCUGAUUUUGUAUUUCUAGUAGAGACAUGGUUUCGCUAUUUUGUCCAGGCUGCUCUCGAACUCCUGACCUCAGGUUAUCUGUUCCCCACGGCAUCCCAAAGUGCUGGGAUUACAGGCGUGAACUACCGUGCUUGGCCUCUGUGUACUUCUUUUUUGUUGUUAUUGUUUUUGAGAUGGAGUUUCACUCUUGUCAUACAGGCUGGAGUGCAGUGGCGCCAUCUCAGCUCACUGCAACCUCUGUCUCCUGGGUUCAAGCGAUUCUCAUGCCUCAGCCUCCCAAGUAGCUGGGAUUACAGGUGUGCACCACCACGCCCAGCUAAUUUUUGUAUUUUUAGUAAAGACAGGGUUUCACCAUGUUGGCCAGGCUGGUCUCGAACUCCUAACCUCAGGUGAUCUACCCACUUCAGUCUCCCAAAGCGCUGGGAUUACAGGUGUGAGCCACCGUACCUGGCCCAUGUACUUCUUACUUAGUUUUUCUUCCCGCGUCUUAUGUUUACAUUUGCAAUUAUGUCUUCUUCUUUCAACAAAUAUUACAGGUUUUCAUAAUCUCAAAUAUUUGUUUUUAGAGCAUGAUGUAAUGUUCCUUUGCAUUAGGUACACUGAUUGUGGGUUUCCAACAAAAAGUUUUCAGGUCUAAAAAUGAUCACAUCAUGCAGUAUACCCAGGAAUCAAACCUGCACAUCUAUCCCCUAAGUCUAAAAAUGAAAGUUGAAAAAAAUAAAAAUUAUAUAAGAAAAAAAUUAUCACAGUGUUUUAUAAAAUAAGAAAGCAGACCACGCGUGGUGACUGAGGCUUGUAAUCCCAGCACUUUAGGAGGCCAAGGCAGGCGGAUUGCUUUAGCUCAGGAGUUUGAGGCCAGCCUGGCCGAAAUGGUGAAACUCUGUCUCUACAAACACACACACACACACACACACACACACACACACACACAAAUUUAGCCAGGCAUGGUGGCACAUGCCUGUAGUCCCAGCUACUCGGGAGGCUGAGGUGGGAGGAUUGCUUGAGCUUGGGAGGCAGAGGCUGCGGUGAGCGAAGAUCACACCACUGCACUCCAGCCUGGGCGCCAGAGCAAGACUCUGUCUACAAAAAACAACAAACAGAAACAGCAAUUUGCCAGGUAAGCCUUUUAUGUUGCCUUUGAUAGUUUUAUAGAUCCUUGGGAUUUUUGCUCACUUAGGUUUAUGAUUGAAUGUGUAUCCCAUCUAACUGUGUACUUGAUAUUUGCUUUUAAAACAAACUCCUGUUAGAAGUAAAUGUUGAAAGAGAGGGCUAGGUUGUUUUUUUUAUAUUCAUUCAGUCAUUGAUUCAUUUAUUUAUUUAUUCAGGGUCUUGGCUGUGUUACCUAGGCUGGAGUGUGAGAGUAUGAUCAUGGCUCACUGCAGCCUAGACCUCUUGGAUUCAAAUGAUGCUCCCACUUCAGCCUCCCAAGUAGCUGGGACCACAGGUGCACACCACCAUGUCCAGCUAAUUUUUAGAUUUUUUUGUAGAGACAUGGUCUUUCUGUGUUGCCCCGGCUGGUCUCGUACUCCUGGCUUCAAGCAAUGGCCCCACCUUGGCCUCCCAAAAUGAAGAUUACAAGUGUGAGCCACUGUGCCUAAUUGAUUUUUUUAUUGGAAAUUUUGAUACUGUUACGUUGUCACUGAGGCAGACAACUUAAAAAUAAUCUUGAGUAUCAUUCUGUGCCGAUGUUAGAAUUUAAUAUGCUGUUCGUAGGCCAGGCUCAGUAGCUCACGCCUGUAAUCUCAGCACUUUGGGACGCCAAAAGCAGGAGGAUCUCUUGAGCCCCCAGGAGUUUGAGACAAGCCUGGGCAGCAUAAAGAGACCCCCAUCUCUAAAAAAAAAAAAAUAGAAAAAUUAGCCAGACAUGAUGAUGCCAACCUGUAGUCCUGGCUACUUGGGAAGCUGAGGUAGGAGGAUCGCUUGAGCCCAGGAAUUUGAGGCUGCAGUGAACUAUGAUUACACCACUGUACUCCAGCCAGGGUGACAGAGCAAGACCCUAUCUCUAAAACUAUUUUUAAAAAUAAAACAAUAUGUUGUUCAUAUUAUCCUAAUGUAGUGUUUUACUGAAUAGAAUUCCUUAAAGGAUUCUUUUCCCCAAGGAUAUUAACUCAAGGUAAAUUAUAAUAGGAUUGCAGAUAAAUUAAGCAUCUUUAUCUUUGAUUACAGAGAUAUUUAGCAUAUGACUAUAGAUAAUUUCCCCUUCAUAUUUUCUUGGGCUUCUAGUAUUUAUGUAUCAAGAAAAUUAUUUCCUUAUGUUUGAAAUGGUGACAUUUCUGAAAUGUACCAGCAGAGGAUACAGG